AGUCUUUUGGUAAUUUUAUAAGAGAUGUUUCCUGCUCAGUGAUGUUUAACAGCCGCGGUAAUUUGACCGUGCAAAGGUAGCAUAAUCAUUUGCUUCAUAAUUGGGGACUUGUAUGAAUGGGGUUACAAGGUUUCUGCUUUAUUUUUUAGAUUUUUAGAAUUUGCUUUUUUGGUGAAGAAGCUAGGAUUUUUUAGUGGGACAAGAAGACCCUUUUGAGCUUUAUUAUUUUUUAUUUUUUUAGUAUUAUUUAAUUUGGUUGGGGCGACCGAGGAAGUUAGAUCUUCCUUUUUUUAUUUUGAUCCAUGGUUUAUGAUUUAUUGAAUAAGCUACCAAAGGGAUAACAGCAUAAUUUUUUUUGUGAGUUGUUAUUAAAAGAAAAGAUUGUGACCUCGA
rnacentral:rRNA from 1 species